GUCAUAUGCUUGUCUCAAAGAUUAAGCCAUGCAUGUCUCAGUACAAGCCAAAUUAAGGUGAAACCGCGAAAGGCUCAUUAAAUCAGUUAUGGUUCCUUAGAUCGUACCCACAAUUACUUGGAUAACUGUGGUAAUUCUAGAGCUAAUACAUGCAAACAGAGCUCCGACCGGAGACGGAAGGAGCGCUUUUAUUAGAUCAAAACCAAUCGGUGGCGAGCUCGCUCGUCAUCGUACAACUUGGUGACUCUGAAUAACUUUACGCUGAUCGCACGGUCGUCGCACCGGCGACGCAUCUUUCAAAUGUCUGCCUUAUCAACUGUCGAUGGUAGGUUCUGCGCCUACCAUGGUUGUAACGGGUAACGGGGAAUCAGGGUUCGAUUCCGGAGAGGGAGCCUGAGAAACGGCUACCACAUCCAAGGAAGGCAGCAGGCGCGCAAAUUACCCACUCCCGGCACGGGGAGGUAGUGACGAAAAAUAACGAUACGGGACUCAUCCGAGGCCCCGUAAUCGGAAUGAGUACACUCUAAACCCUUUAACGAGGAUCAAUUGGAGGGCAAGUCUGGUGCCAGCAGCCGCGG
rnacentral:rRNA from 2 species